UGUAUAAUGGGUCAGCGACUUAUAUUCUGUAGCAAGGUUAACCGAAUAGGGGAGCCGAAGGGAAACCGAGUCUUAACUGGGCGUUAAGUUGCAGGGUAUAGACCCGAAACCCGGUGAUCUAGCCAUGGGCAGGUUGAAGGUUGGGUAACACUAACUGGAGGACCGAACCGACUAAUGUUGAAAAAUUAGCGGAUGACUUGUGGCUGGGGGUGAAAGGCCAAUCAAACCGGGAGAUAGCUGGUUCUCCCCGAAAGCUAUUUAGGUAGCGCCUCGUGAAUUCAUCUCCGGGGGUAGAGCACUGUUUCGGCAAGGGGGUCAUCCCGACUUACCAACCCGAUGCAAACUGCGAAUACCGGAGAAUGUUAUCACGGGAGACACACGGCGGGUGCUAACGUCCGUCGUGAAGAGGGAAACAACCCAGACCGCCAGCUAAGGUCCCAAAGUCAUGGUUAAGUGGGAAACGAUGUGGGAAGGCCCAGACAGCCAGGAUGUUGGCUUAGAAGCAGCCAUCAUUUAAAGAAAGCGUAAUAGCUCACUGGUCGAGUCGGCCUGCGCGGAAGAUGUAACGGGGCUAAACCAUGCACCGAAGCUGCGGCAGCGACACUGUGUGUUGUUGGGUAGGGGAGCGUUCUGUAAGCCUGUGAAGGUGUGCUGUGAGGCAUGCUGGAGGUAUCAGAAGUGCGAAUGCUGACAUAAGUAACGAUAAAGCGGGUGAAAAGCCCGCUCGCCGGAAGACCAAGGGUUCCUGUCCAACGUUAAUCGGGGCAGGGUGAGUCGACCCCUAAGGCGAGGCCGAAAGGCGUAGUCGAUGGGAAACAGGUUAAUAUUCCUGUACUUGGUGUUACUGCGAAGGGGGGACGGAGAAGGCUAUGUUGGCCGGGCGACGGUUGUCCCGGUUUAAGCGUGUAGGCUGGUUUUCCAGGCAAAUCCGGAAAAUCAAGGCUGAGGCGUGAUGACGAGGCACUACGGUGCUGAAGCAACAAAUGCCCUGCUUCCAGGAAAAGCCUCUAAGCA
rnacentral:rRNA from 1 species